ACAUGUGAGUGUGAUUUGGCUGUGAUAUAUAUCACCCCAUUGGUCACAAAGGUUUAUUUGGCUGAUCUGGCUGGAUAGGCAGGACGCUGUCCUCUCUCAGUACCCCAUGUGUGUCCCUCCCAAAGCUGUGUGCUUGGUCAAAGACAAGCACCCCUGAACGAGAACCGUUCCUUGGUCGGUGGUAUACAAGUAGAAAUGCUCCCCUGCCAGAAUGUCCAAACCAAAGAUCUAUCCUCAAGUUUAGAAUUGGUUUUCUUCAUGUUCUAGUCUGUUAUGAAACCUCUCUG
rnacentral:snRNA from 1 species